GACGUAGGGCGCGAGCGUUGUCCGGAUUUAUUGGGCGUAAAGAGCUCGUAGGCGGCUUGUCGCGUCGACUGUGAAAACCCGCGGCUCAACUGCGGGCCUGCAGCCGAUACGGGCAGGCUAGAGUUCGGUAGGGGAGACUGGAAUUCCUGGUGUAGCGGUGAAAUGCGCAGAUAUCAGGAGGAACACCGGUGGCGAAGGCGGAUCUCUGGGCCUUACCUGACGCUGGAGGCGCGAAAGCGUGGGGAGCGAACA
rnacentral:rRNA from 1 species